AUCGGGGGGGGUGACGAGGGUUAGCGAGGCCUGAGGACGACGGUGUCACUGGGCAGUGACGGGGGCGAGACCUGAGGGAGCCGCGGCCCUAAUGGGAGAGCGGCGCUGGGGGCGGGGCCUUGGCGGGGCGGAGCCAGAGCCGGAGCUGUAAGGGCGGCCCCGGGGCUCCAUGCUCCCUCCUGAACCGCAGCUGUCGCCGGGUUCGUAGGCUGUGACCGAGUGCUCCUACCCGGGGCCCCGCGGGGAGCCGAGCGGAACCCGUCCCGAGGCGGCUCCGCGCACCGCCGAGCAGAGCCGGGGAGGCGGAGCCCUCACAGGACCCCCCCGUUCCUGGAGAAACACCAGGGACUGUGAGUCGGGGGAGGCGGCCCCGGGGGAGCCCGCACGCUGGGGUCGCGGUGCGGCUGGGAGCAGCCGCUCCUUUCCCGGUUCUUCUGUGCAGGAGCAGCCGAGCCCCGGGAGAGGAGUACGGCGCGGGAGAACGUGUCCGGUCCCGAAGAGACGACGGUCAUGUCUCGCCCGCGCCCCUCACGGCGGGGCCGCCCCGGGAGUGCGGGGACACCCCGUCGCCCUUCAGCCCUCGGGACCGGGACGGGGAGACCCUCCGCGCGGAGCGGUGCUCGGUGUGGACUUAAUCGCCGAGGGGAGAGGCCCGGCUCCCUGCCCGCAGAAGGACAAGGCGCUUCUCUGCUGCUCGGAGCCUCUGCUCGGGGACGGCCCUGUCUGCCGCUGACUCGAGUUCAGAUCUGGCUGGGGGAUGCCCCGGCGCGUUACAGAUCCAGGCCGCUUUGGCUCCAGACAGGAGAUGUUCCUGCUGGGUCGCUCCUUCCUGCUGCAGCUCCAGAGCAGCUCGGUUCUCCCCAACGGGGGCUGCGGAGAGCACACGCUGCCCUGUCCAUCUGUGCUGGCUGAUGGACAUCACGGCUUGUUACAGCUCCAGCUCACGGACACCCCGGUUGUACGGCAGGUCUGGAUGAGAGAUGUUCCCCCUCGGGUUCUCCAGUGCUUUCCUCCUCAGGGCAUUUGAAGCCCCAGGUCGUUUCAGUUCCUGCUGAUUUUUUAAUGUCUGGGUAAUUUCAGUUCUAGGAACCUGAUGCUCCAGCUCGUUGCAGCUCUGACUUGUUUUGGGUUGAGGUAAUUUCAGGUCCAGAUUGUUGAAGCUCCAACUUCGGCUACAGAUGCUCCAGGUGACUCCAAGAAGGUCUGGUUUUGGCUUGGAGGUGCUCCAGAUGACUCCUGUGCUGGCUCCGAGAAGGUCCGUCUUUGGCUAUGAGGUGCUCCUGCUCGUUACCAGCUCCAGUUCAAUAAAUGUUCCUUGCUGUCACGAGCCCCAGAAAGCUCCAGCCCGCCUGGGCUUCUGGCCAAGUUGUAAGUCACUCACUGUCCCAACUCCCAUAUGAAUAUCAAGUGUCAUAACUACAGUCUUAAGCACUCAGUAACCAUGGUGACAGUCAGAUACAUCCCUGGACAAGCACUUUUUGCCUCAGAGACUAUCUCAGACAUUUAAUCCAGCCUGGUGCAUGCCAGCCUCCCUCACUUUGAGGACCAACGCAUCCAGACCCCCCCCUCUGGAGGGGUCCGUGCACCCUGCCCAGCCCCCUCUCACCCACCUUAUCUCCUGCCCAAAGGCCCCUCUGAGCCUCUGUUUUGGGGGCUGAAAACAGCUGAAUGAGCUUUUGUUUCUCACUCCCCCAAACACAGCACUUGGGUUUGGGUUUUUUUCUGAGCACCAGAAACACAGGACUUAGUCUGAGCUUCAGAAAGGCAGUGCUUGCACCUGCUUUGGCAUCCCAACUCCCAGCAUGCCCUUAGCCUCCAUUUCCCAAUGUGGAAAAUACAGCCCUUAGUUUCAGGGUUUUUUUUGUGAUCCCUAGAACCCCAGGCCUUGACCUGUAUUUCCAAAUGGUGAAAAUGAAGGACUUAAGUCUUUCUUUUAGAGCCGCAACCCCAGCUCCUUCCCAAUGCCCAAUAAGGCAGCGCUCCCUCUCUCUUUUGCAAAGGCAAAAACACAACACUUAUCUCCAUUUUGAGCCCCAAAGCUGCAGCACCUGUUCUCCCUCCCUUCUCGAGAGCAGACAAGGACCGACUCCGAGCUCCCAAACCCUCCCGCAGACCCUGUGUGCGGUGGGGCGGGGGCCCCACACCCGUCGGGGCGUGCUUAGGAACUCCAGGAGGGGUAGCCUCGCUUUUACGGGGGCCGCACCGCACCGAGGGAUCGGUUUAUUCUCCUUCCCUGCCCCAAAAAACCGGCGCCGAGAACACCGAAGUCCGCAGCCUUCUCCCCCAGCGCGAACGGAGGAGGAGGAGCCGCCGCCGCUUUUGAGCCCGCGACCCGCCCUGGCACAGGCGGCGCCGAUCAAUUAAUUAGCAACGCCACUAAUUAAGUGUUUAGGGGGAGGGCCACCCUGGCUGGAGCUGGGCAGUUCGCCUGUUCGUGUUGAAUGCCCUGCAGGGGGACGCCAGGUCUCUACAACCGCGGAAUGGUUUGGGAGGGAAAGGACCGCGCAGAUCCACUCGGUGCCACCCCUGCCACGGCAGAGACAGCUCCCCCUGGCUCAGGGGCUUAAGCCCCAUCCAGCCUGGCCUUGAGCGCCUCCAGGGAUACGGCAGCUACGGCUGCUCCGGGAGACCUGGGCCUCGGCUUCCCCACUCUCACAGCUGAAAACGUUGCUCCCCGAGAUGUCACCUUAAUGUCCCCUCUUCCCGCCUAAACCCGUUCCCGUGUCCCUGCGUUCCUGGAUCCAGAGCCCCCCCCGCCCCGCUGGACACAUCCCAGCAGAGCUGUGAGGGAACGGCCCUUCCCACCGGUUCCAGCCCCAGCUGCAGAGCGCCCCGGCGGGGUCCUACCCCUUUCCCUCGGCACGGCCGCUGCUCGCACGCUGCGAGGCCGAUAAUUACCUGUGCAGUUUUCCGUGGAGCGAAGGGGCUCGACCGCAGCGAAUCCGGGGACGCGUGCCCCUGUGUUCCUCCAGAAAGGUCCCCAGCCGCUCACCAGCUGCCUGCACACGCUGUCAAACAGAAAUGAAAGUCUCACCGCGAGAGCGAGAAGCCUCUCAGCGCCAGGUGCGUAUUAAAUCAACCCACUCGUCAUGUUUUUUCUAAUGAAGAAUUAGCAGCAGUGUCACAACUUGUUAAGGCGAUAUAAAAAUCACUAUGUAUAUACAGUAAUUAUGAAUAUAUAUGUUACGAGCUUCGUGACUGUUUGUUGCUGUACUGUGUAACGUAGGUGGGAACAGCGACUUCCACUUAUCGUUAAGCUGCUUUUAAACAGGAUCCUGCAGUGCCUUGGCUGGCCCACAUACCUAGGAGAACUCCGGAGAGAGAGACAGAGAACAAUUAGAACAAGGACAUCCUGGCAUCACAGUUACUAUUUCCAAUCUAAUCCUCUAAAAAAGGAAGACAGGUUAACACUCUGCCUGCGCUGCCCUGCUGUGAUGCGAGAGGUCUACUUGGACAGAAACACCCUCCCUAGGGCUAGAGCUGAGCGUGGUCUGCAUUUCUCCCUGGGUGCGCUCUCUGCUGGGGCCACGGCGCUGGCUGCCACCACUGCCCAUUAACUUCAGCCUGCAGAACCACAGGCAAGGUAAUUCUGCUCGGAAAAGAGCCAGAAAGCGGAGCUUUACACUAAGCUGCACAGAAAACCAGAGGUCGUGUAAAAGACGACGGCAAACUUCAAACUACAUGAAACACCUUCCAGCCCUGCUUCUUUAUCUCCUCUCCUCCGACCUGGUCCUUAACAGGUUUAGCAGUGUGUUUCUAGCAACGCGGGCAGCCAGACCUGCGUAUUUUCUACAGCAAACUCCACUUUCAACCAGGUGCAAAGGAAUAUCAAUGAAGACGUUACCUGAAUGGUGAGAACAACACAACACAGUUCCUGUGAGGCAGCGAAUGACUGAGAGCCGAAGCCAAUUUCUGUAGGGAGCUCCCAGGAGGGCAAUCAUGCUGGCUAGGAAACUCCCGGGAGAAGGGAGCUUUGCUGAACAGUUAGACCCGAUACUCUCCAAGUAAAUAAACCCCCACACUUCCUCCCCUCAGCCUUAGGAGCUCAGCUGCUGACAGACCGAGUGACCUUUCACAGUAAACCACCCCAGCCUGCAUCCUGCUCACUGAAUGCACCAGAUUGCAGGCAACUCCAUCUGUGAGAGAAAGCGAGUCCCAAUCCCCCCUUUCCCACACCAUGAAUACAAAAAACAAAGAAAACAAAGCUUGAUGUCAUUUUUGUGUGGGCGUCAGCAAUUUGUUUGAGGAGAGUUGCUGCUCUUUGGAGCAGCGCUUUCCUUGCUUAUGAGAUGGGGAUUAGGCGAGUUUACUGCUCAGAAAACCAGGG